GAUAUGAAUACCAUACUCUUGAAGCAUAUCAACAGAUGACUUGAGAGAGAAAUUUUCUGAAAACCUGCCUUUUGAAAUCGACGGGGAAAAAAAGAUCCUUGAUUGCUGCAGCAAAUGGCAACUUGUGCAGGUUUUUCAGAUGCAUGUUGAUGGUGAAAAGAGGAAUGUAUGAAUCUGGGUAAAUUCUGCAUGCUGUCAGGUACAUGUGAGGAGAAGAUAUCAGCCAGCCUUGGUCACAAUAAGUAGUAUUCCUGAGUGAUAGUCAAGAAGAAUGGGAAUCACAGUCAAGAGCAGUGAGACUUGAUGGAUAAAAUACUGACUCCAGUUAAAUGCAGCAUAACUUUAUAAAUCUAUUUCAGUACUCCUGAGAAAGAAUACUACUUCCAUCACACAGAGUGCAUCCAUCCACAGAUGUGUAUGUGGAAGAAAGCAAAAUGAUAUUACAAAACAUCACAAAUGUGGCAAGAUUUGAAAAAAGCCUGGGGAAAUCUAUUCCAUCUGAAAAAGGACAAACUAAAGAACAGAAAAAUCAGGCCUUAACUACAAGACUUUAGUUGAUUUUUAUUGAACUGUGUGUAGAACAGCAGCAGGAAGAAGGAAUGGAAGCUGGACAAAUUUCAGUUGCUGAAGAAGUUAUAGAAUGUCCUUGCAAGCUAUUGAGAGGGGUCGUGCUCUUGCAAGAUGUGUGCAAGUGUUGGUGCUAAUGGAAAUUGCUGCAUCCAUUCCUGCCCUGCACAACCUGGCAUAGCAGCUCAUGGGUUUUGCUAUGUAAUCUGCCUGUUGCUGUGGGACUUCUGCAGGAGAAGGUUGAGGCAUUUCUACUUGUGGAAUUUUGUUUAUAAUUGGUUGUCACUGGUUGGGAAUGGAUUGAAUGUACAGUUGAACACCUGUUGCUCUAGAUGAUCUCAGACUGUCACCAACACAGUGGGUUUUUACACAUUUCCAGUUGAACUUGUGAACACUUGUAGCAAACCACUCAUUCUUCUAUGGAACAGGCUUGGAUGCAGUUAUUGUAUUCAUGUUUGGUAUGUGGAAAUAUUUAAUGUGUGUAAUCUGUUGGAAAGUUAAGUAUAUUCUAAAUUCAUUGUUAGGAGAGAGGCAAAAGUUUACAUUGUGUAUCUGUGGCUUUGAUGGUUCAUAGUUGAAAAUAAAUAAUAAUAAAUAAGAAUAUUUGGUGUAAGUUUUGUGUGCUAAUGAAAGAGACACUGCAAUGCUGGUGUUACACUGAUGUUAAAAAGUGAGAAAAUAAAGUUGUUCCAUGUCCA